rnacentral:rRNA from 1 species
CCUACGGGGGGCAGCAGUGGGGAAUAUUGCACAAUGGGGGAAACCCUGAUGCAGCGACGCCGCGUGAGGGAAGAAGUAUCUCGGUACGUAAAGCUCUAUCAGCAGGGAAGAAAAUGAAGGUACCUGACUAAGAAGCACCGGCUAACUACGUGCCAGCAGCCGCGGUAAUACGUAGGGGGAAAGCGUUAUCCGGAAUUACUGGGUGUAAAGGGAGCGUAGACGGCAGCUCAAGUAUGGAGUGAAAUCCCGGGGCUUAACCCCGGAACUGCUUUGGAAACUGGGCGGCUGGAGUGCGGGAGGGGUAAGCGGAAUUCCUAGUGUAGCGGUGAAAUGCGUAGAUAUUAGGAGGAACACCAGUGGCGAAGGCGGCUUACUGGACUGUAACUGACGUUGAGGCUCGAAAGCGUGGGGAGCAAACAGGAUUAGAUACCCGAGUAGUC